ACGGCUCAGUAACACGUGGAUAACCUGCCCUAAGGAAGGGGAUAACCUCGGGAAACUGAGGAUAAUACCCUAUAGGUUACAGACGCUGGAAUGCCCUGUAACCGAAAGUUCCGGCGCCUUAGGAUGGAUCUGCGGCCGAUUAGGUUGUUGUUGGGGUAACGGCCCAACAAGCCGAUAAUCGGUACGGGUUGUGGGAGCAAGAGCCCGGAGUUGGAUUCUGAGACAUGAAUCCAGGCCCUACGGGGCGCAGCAGGCGCGAAAACUUUACAAUGCGGGAAACCGUGAUAAGGGAACCCCGAGUGCCUGUAUAUGCAGGCUGUCCAGGUGUCUAAAAAACACCUGAAGAAAGGGCCGGGCAAGACCGGUGCCAGCCGCCGCGGUAAUACCGGCGGCUCGAGUGGUGGCCACUUUUAUUGGGCUUAAAGCGUUCGUAGCUGGGUUGUUAAGUCUCUUAGGAAAUCUGACGGCUCAACCGUCAGGCGUCCAAGGGAUACUGGCAAUCUUGGAACCGGGAGAGGUGAGGGGUACUUCGGGGGUAGGAGUGAAAUCCUGUAAUCCUCGAGGGACCACCUGUGGCGAAGGCGCCUCACCAGAACGGCUUCGACAGUGAGGGACGAAAGCUGGGGGAGCAAACCGGAUUAGAUACCCGGGUAGUCCCAGCCGUAAACGAUGCGCGUUAGGUGUAUCGGUGACCACGAGUCACCGAGGUGCCGAAGGGAAACCGUGAAACGUGCCGCCUGGGAAGUACGGUCGCAAGGCUGAAACUUAAAGGAAUUGGCGGGGGAGCAC
rnacentral:rRNA from 1 species